rnacentral:rRNA from 1 species
AGCGAACGUUAGCGGCGCGCCUAACACAUGCAAGUCGCACGAGAAACGGAGCAAUCCGCGGUACAGUGGCGCACGGGUGAGUAACACGUGGAUGACCUUCCCUGGAGUGGUGGAUAACCUGCCGAAAGGCGGGCUAAUACAGCAUGGGACCACGCUGCUUUGGCGGUGUGGUGAAAGCGGGCUUCUGUUUACAUGCUCGCGCUCCGGGAUGGGUCCGCGUCCCAUCAGCUAGUUGGUGAGGUAACGGCUCACCAAGGCUACGACGGGUAGCUGGUCUGAGAGGAUGGCCAGCCACACUGGAACUGAGACACGGUCCAGACUCCUACGGGAGGCAGCAGUGGGGAAUCUUGCGCAAUGGGCGAAAGCCUGACGCAGCGACGCCGCGUGGGCGAAG